AGCUAGCUAUAUAGCAUCUUCUGCACUUGUAUUCCUUGUCAAGUAAUAGCAUAGAGAUUCGCAUUAGAAUGGAGUCUGCGUGUAAUUAUGAAGGCAUUUGCAUUUUCUAUGAGGCAUUAGAUAUGGUAACCAUGCAACUGAAGUAAUGAGUAAUUUGACACUGUCACAGUUUAACAUUUAUGUGCUAUCUUACCAGUAGGAUGGGAGCAGAAAUGAUGAAUCCAGCACAAUCUGACCAGAAUGAGAUGAAAGUCCUCAGAGUGACAAAAAUGGGCACUGGGAAAGGCAGCUGCUGCUAAGAAGAUUUCACUGUGACAGAAAGCAAAAAGUGGAGGUCAGACUGUUGCCCAAAGAUCUGAUCCUGUUUAACCAGCCCUGAAGCUGUUCUGAAUGUGCUGUAGACCACUGAGAAUGGAUCGCCCCACACUGAUCAGUUUAUAGUGGGAAGGGCAAGGAAAUGGGACCGGGAGCAGAAUCAGUUUUGAGAUACUUAGGUAACAACAGCUGGAUCACCCUUUUCUCCCUAACAGGCAAGAAGGAGAGUGAGUGGUCCUAGGGCUAGAUAAGAGAUCCAUCAGGAUGGAUUUGUCUAGCCUGGGUGACAGGCAGGUGUUUGUCAGCGUGGGACUGCACAUAAAAGAUGGUCAAAUUAGCUGACUACCUUCGUAUCUCCCACUGAGUACUUUUAGACUGGUGGAAUUCUGCCUCAGUUACUUUUAUAGCCAUCCAAGGAAUUGACUCGGAUCAUUCAGUGCUAUGACCAGGCUUCACUCUGCACACUUUAGGGAUCUCUAAUGCAGUCUGCCUGAGGAACUACUUUGCAGGGCAGAGAAGCUAUUUAAAAACUAAAAGUGAUUGAAUCCAUAGAUGACACUUGAAAGUCUGAAACUUGUGGAGUGUUAUGUCAAAGCGGAUGGAAUUGCACAGAGGGACAGUACCUGGAGCAAUGGGAAGGCUACAAAGAAUUAUUCUGGCUUUUGGGUUAAAACUCCUCAAUCAACCCCAGAAAAGCCAACCAUUACCAAAUGAGGCAUUUUGGUACGUUUUAAUCCAAGCUGCAAGAGUAUGCAGCAUUUUCAGUGGAAUUACGUGAAGAUGUCAUAGAGAAGGAGGUUCUGAAAGAGAAGUGGUUGAAACAAUGAGCAGCGUGGAGGAGGUGCUGCUGCUGCAGUAUCCCUUGCGUACUACACUGAAAGAAAUUGCCUGGACGUGCACCUGGAAUGUGCUCAAAUGAUACCGUGCAACUUGGAAAUGCCCAGAGGCCUUUAUGGUGAGUUUUGUUGAACAAAGCACAGAAGUUCGAUUGCUGCAUGUCAAGAUGACACUAUUUUGAAUUAUUGGGGAAAAAAAAAAAGAUUUAAAAUAUUUGCUCUUUGAAUGAAAUGAGUAACUCCUAGAAUGACUUCAGGUGUGUAAGAAUCCAUCACUUCCCUAGCUAAUAGGAUUACAGAGGUGAUGAAUUGCCCACUGGAGGUUUUGAUAUCUCUGAAUAAAGAAGACAGCCUGCAAGCAAUACUUGCAGCCCGGGCAUUGCUAUAUACCGUGUUCUGGGCUCCACAGUAUAAAGAGGAUGUGAAGAUGCUUGACAGCAUCCGGAGGAGGGCAACAAAGCUGAAAGCACAAAAAUCUCAUGAAAGCAAAGAGAAUUGUACCUCCAAGAAACUCCUUAACAGCCACCACCACCAGAAGAUAAUGUCUGAUGAGCUUUUCUCAACCAAGAAUUUUCCUCCACCAUCUAAAAAAAAAGAUUGCAGUUGUUGCAAAGGAAUCAAGGAGAAAGAGGACAGCUGGGAGCAUUAAAAGCAGGCAAGUGUUUUUCUUUCCUUUUUUUGUUUUGUUUCUCUUCAAACUAAGAAGGAUGUGACUUCACUGUAUGCUUUCCUUCAACAACAAUAUUCCAUUCAUACCAGGAGAGUCCAGUGUUUCUAUCAGGCUCAAACAAAAUGCUAAAAUAAUUCUUUAAGCAAUAUAUAAAUUAUCGUCUUAUGGUGGCCAAACAAGUUUCUGUGCCAGCAAAAUAAUGCGCUGUCCCUCUCUGAUGGAUCAUUACUGAAUAGCAUGAGUUUUGCACAGAUUGUCAGCAAAAUAUAAGAAGUGACUGGCAGCACUGCACUGCCAUGCGUCCGAAGUACUCCAUGAGACACCACAAGAGACAGAGAAGGUAGGUACAAAGUCAGAGACUGUAUUGUGGAAAGUCUCCCUUGCCACAAGACACACCACUGACUCUAUUAGAACAAAAUCAGAGCCAAUUCGUAUCACUUUAUAUCAGGUGUCAAUUCAUAUCACACAACGUAAGGCACAAAGUCAUGACACUGAGUGUCUCACUUGUUGUCAAGUAUUUAUACCUCCUCUGUAAGCAGUGCAUCAAUAUCAAAGGUGACUGCUGAACGGAGAUUUAGAAUACAUCCCAUGUACAGAUUCUGCUUAGGCUGUGGAAGCAAAGUGUUUGCUAUGGAAGCAAUCAGCAAACUACAGAAAGGGCUUUUUAAAUUGAGGCUGUGGCUAUCUUAGAACCAGAGAUGACCAAAGAAGAAGGACAGGAGGCCCAGUGUCUCUUAUAGCUUGAAACAGUGAAGCAAAGAACACUUAUCCUCUAUGUCAGCCUAUGAAGGAGCUGGGAAUCUGUGCAAGGAAUCUUAAAUCUGUCAGGCAAUCAAGUCAAUAGAUCUAAUCCUAAAAGAACCUUUCUGAGUCUUUAGUUUGUUUGGAAAGGUAGGUGUGGAUUAUCUCUGGAUGGAGUGACUGUGAAGUCUAGUUAAUGGCUACACAGUUCUGUUCCUUACACAGUCCUUAGUCACUGAAAGAUUUUACAGAGGAGCCCACAGCAGUGAAUAUGAGCCAGAAAUAGAGCCACAGAGCUAUUCCUGAAAGCAGCCAACUGAAUCUGUACCUCUUUUCAAUGGGGAGAAGUAAACAAAAUCCAAAGUAAGUAAGUGGAAAUUCUACAGAACUCUUCUAAUAUUUCGGAUUAAAAAAAUGUAACUUCGUAGCUCUCAGAGUGACUGUUAAGAAAGCUGUGCACAUUGUUCCAGAGCAGACCUUGUCCGACCAAAACUGCUGAGCACAGCUUUUAUAUUGUUGUAUUAAUGCAAUUUAUUUACUAUGAAAUGUUCAGAUUAUUGAAUCCUAUUUUUCUACCAGCUGGUCAUACUGUGAAAAGCAAACCAUCCAGCCUAAAUAAAUAAAACAGUACCACUGUGCUGGCAUGUCAGAAGGUAGGCUACUCUGUAUAAUGGAAAUGCAAAUAUGGAAGCAGUUGUUAUUUCAUGGAUAAAUAAAACUUACAGAGAGAUGGUGCAAUGCUUUUUUUUCCCCCUCUUUUCUUCUGAUAAUCAUUAGGUCAUCAUAUACCAAUCCCUCCUUUGUUUGCCGUUGUAGUGCCCUGCUGUUAUGGAAGAAUGGCAUUUCAAAAGGGCUUAUGAGCAUCUCCUUUCUGAUCUAGUACCUCCGCAACCAGAGGCUGAGGUACUGAAUUGCCAAAGGCCUCCAAAAGUUAUUUUGCAGACACGUCCCUGGGCUGAAGAUUACUUGAGAUAAUAGCUGUUUCUCUAUGGGCCUCUUUUUCAUCUUUGAAAGUAUUCUCGGCAUACUUCAUGGGCAGCUCCCUGCGCUCCAGACAAGCAGCUGAUGACUAUGCUGUUUACUCACUGGGUCCUCUAUUUUUUGCAGUCAUUUCAAGGCUCAGGAAUUACACUAACUAAGAUUGGGAAUGCCAUGAUUUCAAACAAACCAGUAAAUACAUAUUUUUUUCCUAGACAAGCAGUGAAGUGUGCAGCUGAAGUGCAGGAGGAACUGAGGGGUUUUAACUUGGAGGGAUUGGGGUAUCAGAAAGGGAGUACUGCAAAGGUGAGUUGAGGAGGUUUGGAACUAUUGGGGAACAGGAGGUGAGGGCUCUGAGCUUGGCAGGCUUCAGAGCCACGAGGCACUGUAAAGUGGGGCUCUGGUAGUGUGGGCUCAAUGCUUAUCGUGGUAAUCCUACUUUAAUCCCAGUAUAUACCCUGACCUUGAAGAAAGGAAUCUGAGAACAGAGUAUUGUCUGCUUACCUCUCUGCCAUCCUUGACUUUGCAGCUCUCAGCUAAGAUCCGCUUGAAUAAGCAGCUACAUUUCUUGGUGCUUAUCCAAGCCACGGAUGCUCCUUGCAAAACCUGAUUCUGAAGAGACGAGCAUCGGGGCAGAAUACCUGGAAGUCUGACACCAGUCUUGCAGUGUGGCAUGGAACACGGACUGCAGCAGUCAGAGACCUGACCUGUGCCUCACUUCAGGUGAAGUUCGUGUCUUGCAGCUCCAGGGCUGUUCUCACAGCUUUCCCAGAAAGAGAAUUUGACUUUUGGUAUGCACUUUCUGGAGAUGAAAGUACACUGCUGCUUAUUUUUAUCUCAGAUCAAAUGAUGAGCAAUCACAUCUGGAGCAGGAUGCAGAAGAUCUGAAUAGAAGCCCAAGUUCUGUCACAGAUGCACAACAGAUUUUGGCAUGAUAGCUCCUGAUGUAGAUAUAUUCUGGCUAACUUUCAAGCUAACCAGGUGGGAUACGUAUAGCUGGAAGUCCUUAGGUAGGAUUCCCAGUCCCCAGCCUUCUGUACUUUUAAAUCUAUGCUGCUCAUGGUAUUCAGCCUUGUCAGCUCCAAAACUAGGCAGAAUGUGCCUGUAUUGACUGACACAUCAAUGUCUGCCUUGCAGAACAGCAGCUAUUCAGGCUCUGAAUCAUCCUGCUCUGUCAGGCCAUGGGGAAGGACUGGGAAGCCAGAAUCAUGGCAUCUGAAACUUCAUAUUCCUGCACUCUGGAGAGAACCUGUGGGUGAGCCCUGGGAGCCAGAGGCCUCAAAGUGCCAGAGGGCAACCAUGGCUCUUGGUGUCACCUAUGAAACUGAGGACUUGAAAUCCCUGACUUUAACCUGAAUACAGAUCCUUCCACCUUAAGCCCUUUCCUAAUGAAAUCAAUAUUCUGGUCAGCUCUACUGCUAAGAAAAACAGCUGUAGCAGGAAGGGGAACAUAUUUUGUUUUCCCAGGUCCCUGCGCUGAUGUUUCUCAAAUGAAAUUUUCUCUGACGUUCAGGCAUAAAAUCUUGAAAUUAAAAUGAAAUGUAAUUGCUAAUGAAUGGAAAGUAUUACAUGCUGGCCAGCUCUAUUUGUACAUACAAAAUAUCCUAGACACCUCAAAGUUUCUUUCAUGCCAUCUCAGAUUAUUGUCCUUUAUUGUUUUACCAAGAUCUCCAAAGCCAGCUGCUUAGGGGUUUUCACUGCCCAAACUCCCACUCGUUAUUCCAUUUGACACUCGGAUCCCUUGAGCAGCACUGAAAAAUUACUAAGCCUUAAUAUCUGUGCAAGAAUUCCAAACAAUAGCUACAACGAAGGAACUGGUCCUGGCACUAAAAACCCAUGAAUAUGUAAGACAAAUUGUAUCUGGAGAGAUAACGGGCUACCAGAAUCGUCUUUCAAAAGAUAUACAAUGUAAGCUGCACACUCCUCAAUAGCUCAAGGGGCUUACAGUCAAUAAAUUUAACAGGCUCAACCUAGAAAGUCAAAGCUAAAGUACAGUAUGCAAAUACAAGCUAGAGUGGACUCUUCUUUCUACCUUAGGACAGAGUUAAUAGAGGGGAAAUGACAAAAUACAUAAAAAGGAAUGCACGGGAUUUGACAGAGCAUGUUUUUUUUUCUUUUCACUUCAAGGCAAACUACCAGACUAUUUUGGUUUACAAAUAAAUCAAACAAAGAACUUUUAUCAGUUUGCAUAAAAGUCUCAUUUUCAGCACUGGAAAGAUUAAGCUUCAGAGCCUUUUUCUGUGUGUGUAUGUGAGGGAUUACAAAGGAAGUAGUGUAAAUAAUGACCUUGCUGAAAACAGAUUAGCUUCAAUGAUUAUAUAGUAAAAUAGUAAUGUUUUCUUCACUUACAGAUUAAAAUAUCAAUUGACAGUUUCCAUAAACAAGUAAAGCUCAUGGUUAUUCAGUGUAAUAGGAUAAUGACAGUAGCAGUAUCUGACAGCCCCAUUUCUGCCUCUUGACAUUAUUUAUGGUAUUCUGAUGCUCAGUCUAGGGAGCUGGAUCUUCAGCUUUGCCAGAUGUGUUUGCUGUGGCUCAGUGUUUAUGUGACAAAAACAUUUCCUUUAGGAAUUUCCUUUAUUUUACAGUUAUGUGGUCACACUAAAUACAAAUGUAUUGGACCCAUCACAUUCUUAUGGUUAUAAUCUUUUAAAGUCAACUUUUCAAGACCUACCCCUACUGCUUUCAGGUGACUAAGAGCACAUAUGGGCUGAUUUCUCACUAGCUUACCCCUCAUACUGACAUCUACACUUAGUUUAAGUUGUCGGUCAAAACUGAAGCAGCUGGACUAUUCCCACCGAGACUCUGUUUUUCUUUUUUUUCUCUCCUGUCUUUGCUGUUUCUAAAAAGUACUACAAAGGAUGGAAACAGCAUACAUGGGAUGGAUACGGUGUUGGGUGUGGCAGGCCAGGUCUCUGCUCUGACUCAAUGGGGACUCUCAGGACAGAAAAAUCCAGCUUUGAGAGGGGCAGAGCAGAAGAAGGCUCCUGUAGUCCAAGUUAGUAUUUUAAUACAGAAAGCAACAGGCAAAUAUUCCUUCUCUUUGUGAGCAGGUCGGUGUUUAUGAGCACAAACUCAUCACAGGAGCCUUGGCUUGCAGUACCUGGGUUCUUCAAACAAAGCAAAGUGCAGUCUUGUCUAGCGUAUGUCCUGGCAGAGAAACCAGGGCUUUAAAGCAGCCUAUAAAAAUUAUGGUACACUAGCAAAAUUGGUUAAUGUUUAAUUAUGUUCAAUGGAGAAAGACUUAAAAGCCUGAAAUUGUGACUUCCUAAAUUGUCAAUCAUCUAAAAGACGCAGUAAGUUAAGAUUUUUCUUGAACAGUAUCUUCUAUUAAAUUUAUUAAGCUGUAUGACACUGAGCCUGGGUUUCUACUUUAACUUCAUGCCAAUGGAAAGGAAGAUAAGCAGACAGGAAAGAGGGUAUUGUGCUAUAGACUUGAGGUGCUGGAUUUUUUUUUUUUCUUUUAAAUUCUAUCACAAAACUUGUUUUAGGCAGAUCUCUGAAAAGAGCUCCCCCGAACUGGUCAAUGCAUCUUCAAAAAGGCUGUUAACCCUAACUGUGGGUAUUUGUACUCAUGGUAUGCCAUUUCUUAGCCUGUGUCUCUACAACAGUUUGUGAGUGCUGCGUAAUGGGGCUGUAGGCAAACACUGUGUAAAGCAGUCACAUCCAGCAAUGGUAGCAGUCUGUCUUCAGAAGCACAGAGCACAGUUCAAGCUACAAAAUCCAUUCAGAAUGUCGAAAAAAAUCAAGGAGAUUAACUUAUGCUGCACUCAGUGCUGCUCUAGUUGGUUUAAAACCUUAGCCAUAUUUACACUGAAGGGUCAAAAUGGUAGAAACAAACAAAACAAAUGAGCCUCAGCACCUGUUGUACAUGCAAGUAAUUGGAAAAAAAAAGGCUUAAAAAACAGGCUGCCAACCUUUGAUCUAUGGAGAAGGUGUCUGGACAUCACACAAGAUAUGACAGAGGAGCUCUCAAUGUAGAAGGGCAAUAGUAAGAAGCCACCCAGGGAAAGCAACAGACUAAUCUCAGAGUCCAGUGUAAGCAGAAAUCUUCUAACAGACAAAAUCAAUCCCUUCCAUGUUUUCUUUGUAGCUAAGUUGAGGAAACUAUCUCACGUAGAGAGUGAAAAAUGCACAUCCAGUGUAAUAAAUCUGCAUCCACAUAUGUCUAGCAAUUCACUUUUUCUUAUAAUUACCUUUUCUCUGUUAGUUCCUCUUGUUUCUUCAGCAGUCGUCCCAUGGAUACUUUCACGAAGAUGAUCUUGAGAAUAGAGAAUGCGCUGUCUUGUAAAGAGAAGAGAAAAUAAAAGGUUUUUGAGGGUUCUAUUCACCAUAACACGCCCAAGGGACUUCACGUACCAUCUAACUGUGCUGAUGGUAGCAGGAAAAGGCAACAGACAAAUGUAAGUCGACAAACUAGAACGCUGUUGUGCUUUCAGACUGCAUUAAAAAAGUGAAAGUCUAAAUGUUUUUCCUUUUCUUUACUUUUGCUUAGAAGUCUUUGAGGAAAGACUGAUGUUCCUUUUCCUUUACUUUUCCCAAAGUUUUAUUUUCCAGGUGUUGGGCCUGCAAAGAGCUGCUUUUAAAACUCUGGCGACAAUUUUACAUUCUGAAAGGAAUUCAAACAUUUUCACUUGCUCCAAAAUAUAUCAACUUAUAUAGCUUAUAUAACAAAUAUAGCUUAACAUUAAAAAAUACGGUGCCGUUACAUUUAUAAAACCCAAACCUUAAAUUCUUCAGUAUAAACUCCUUUACUUGUCAACUCUAUUUCAAUACAGAAAAAUAAUUUUAAAUACGAUCACUAUAAUAUCCUUAUGACAUACUUUUUUAUGAAGGUAUAGGAAAGGAGUCAGCAGUAUUCUGAAUACUAACUGAACAUAGCUUAUGACUAUGGCUAGCCAGACAGUAUUUGAAGUAGAUGGGAUCUGUUUCUGCUUUGUCUGGUCUUUGCCCAUAUCUAACCUAUAAAAAAGGCAAUUACUGAAGCAAAUGAUGAAGUUAGUAUUCAAUAAGAUAGUAAACUACUCAGUCAAAUGGUAUCAUACAGGUAAGAAAGGUCAAAUAGAAUUGAAACAGCAUAUUUAAGAAGAGGUAGGAAGCAUCAGCCCUAUCUACAAACAAUCAGUGAAGGGUAGGAUUUUCAACAGCCCCACUGAAGUUGAAGGGAAUCUCCCACUGACUCAAGCCAGUCAAACUUUAACUUUUAACUUUUUGGAAAACUUUAACCAAUCUAAUUUCAAAGGUCAUGUGCUUGUUGUUCAAAAUUAUGUGACUGUAAAUAACUUUUGUUACAGCAAAUGCUUAUCUGAUUUUAUAUUGCAUAACAAAAGGAUACAAUCUCACUCUGUAAGAUGCUCUAAACAGCGAAUUAUUUGUGAAGCAGUUCUAUCAUUACCUUAGUUGCCACUUGCUGUUCUCGAGUCCACAUUUUGUUUGUGUCACUGGUUCUAUUAAACUGCAGUGUUUCUUUUUUCUAA